rnacentral:lncRNA from 1 species
UUUCAUCUACCAAAAUAUAUAACAGACAACAAAUACUAAAACUUUUUAUAAUUUUUAUCGCAACAUUAUAACUUAGUAUUUCACUAAUAAAAAGGAAUUUAAAAUUUCAGAGAUACGCAUCUUGGGAAAAUAUUAUAUAGUCGGAAACAUUACCGGAAUCUCAAAAUACCAAACGACUUUGGUUGUCUUUUGAUAGCUUGUACUGGUUUUAUGCUUCCUAAAUGCAAAUAUAGAACUUAAAUAUGGAGUUCAAGAGAAGAGAGUUCAUUUAAACAUUUAUUAUUACCUUACAGUCCAUCAAUAUUAUUUACAGAUGUUCUGGUUUAGGUGUUAAUUGCACAUACCAAAUUUUAUUAACUCUAACAGCAAGCUUCAAGAGGUAUUUUGAAUCACAAAAUGUAUACUCAUGCAGGAUAAUUCUAUUAACAUUAUGUAUGUUAAUUCUUUUAAGAUUAAUAUAUACUCACAAAAUUGAAGAAAAAACAUUAAGUUAACAAAAUAAUGGUAUUACAGUAAAAUUAAGCUACCAUGUGGAAAAAAAUUAAUAUGAGUAAUAUAUGCUAAUAAAAUUGAAGUCAAACUACCAAAUAAUAUGACUAAUAUCCGCUUAUAUAUAUUAAGCCCAUUUUUUCAGAGGUGAGCUAAUAAUUAAACUGACCACAUAAUAUAAACACCUUUUUAUUUAUUUUUGAUGAUAUGACUUUUUGGAUAAAACUCAAACAUAUCAAGUAAAUGUGGGGGACAUGCAACUAAAAUGAAUAGGAAAAUAUAAUUAUAACUCAUAUUUCAAACGUUAUUAAUAAUGUAGAGAUGGUUUCCAGCUUGCAGAAUCUCAUAUUAAAAAAUGGAAAACCAAACGGUGAUACACCUCCAAUGACAAACUUAAACCAAAUAAAAGCAAAAGUACCACAUUUUAAGAAGACCCAUUUUAGUAUUAACAUGUAAUAGUCAAGAUAUGCUGACAAAAGUAUUAUUAGUUACAACACAAUGACAGAAUUGUACAAAUAAUAUUGAAUAAAUAGUAAAGAGUUAUACACAUUGGGUUAAUACUAUUUUCAUCCCACUAAUAUUGAAGGCAAUAUUAAAUAGUCAACUUCAUAAAUCUUAGGCUCCACGAAAAUUCCACAUCCCCUCACUGAAACUCACAACUCAGUAAAAAAAGGUAGGCAAAAUGAUUUUAUAAUCGACGAAGAAAUAAAAAUGCAAUAUCAUAUAUAUCAAAUAUAUAUCACAAAGAAAACUUGCAGAUGCAACAAAUAAUGUUGUAUAUCAGUAGUGAAGUCAACAGUGUCAUAACAAUAUUAAAGGCUUCAUUUUAGAGUUAACAAUGUCAUAAAAAUCUUUACUUUACCAAAAAAAUACAUAAAUGUAAAUUGCAAACCCUCAAAAAAUAUAAAAGGCUGUAUUUUUUAUGAAAACAAUUAAAAAAUGUAAACUUAAACCCCAAAGAAAGUAGUAAAGAUCCUAUUUUAGAUGAGUAGGAAACUAAAAGUCGUUUCUGAAAUGGUUGUUAAGAAAAAAAUAAUAAUAAAUGCCUCAUUUAAAACAAAAAUAAUAGCAAAAAAUGUAAAGUGAAACACAAAGAAGGAGAAAUGCAGUAUUUUUUCCAGAAAAUAUAUAAAUGUAAACUCCAAACUCCUAAACCGUAGAAAAAACAAUUUUUUUAUGAAAAAAUUACAAAAAAUGUAAACUUGAAACCCAGGGAAAGCGGAAACAAACAUUAGCAAUAGUAAAGUAAAAAAAUCAACUCAUACACAUGAUAUAAAAACUGGAUAAUGUAUAGUAAAGUGUAUUAAGAGACUUACAAAAUGAUAUUUGGGGUCCAAGAAUGGCUACCACCACCAAGUGAUCCAUAUAAAGAUGAGGUCAAAGAAAAGUUCCUAAGAUGAGGAGGUUCAUCUUGUUGGAGGUGAUGGAUAUUAUUAGAUUCCAUAAUGAUAAAUUUAUUAUAAGGUUUUAAAAGGGAAAGGAAAAGGGAUUUGAAAAUCUCCUCAUCCUCUUGACCUCUUCUUAAUCACUUUUCCUUUAAAUCAACAACAUCCUUGUACUUCAACUUGAUUAGCCUUCACUCUUUUCUCCAUUUCCAUUUAUUUAAUCACUUUUAAAGACUUGCUAGGUUUGCCAAACCAAGUCAUGUAAGGGAUCUUUUCAGGAAAACCAAAAAACAAACAAAAAAGUUUUCUCUCUUUCCUUUCUUAAAACUCCCAUGGCUUCCUCUUCUUGGAAAAACAAAAUAGAGUGAGUAAGACCAAGAAGUUUGAAGUAAGGUGUAAUGAGUAAAAAAAAUGUUACCUUGUUAGUAAGAAAUAUCAAGUCUUUGGAUGAAAAAAAAAUUGAGGAAGAAGAAGGAAGGAUGAAGAAAGAAGUAGGAAAAAAUAGAGGAGAAGAUAGAGAGAAAUGAAGUGAUUAAAUAUGGGUGUACCGUAAGAAAAUGGGAAUUUUGAAAUGGUUGGAGUGAAGUAGAG